AAGAAGAGCAUUACCGCCUCCAGGCUGUUCAGAACUCUGCUGCGAGGCUUUUAACUCACAUUAACAAAUGAGCACACAUCACACCUGUUUUAGCUUCACUUCACUGGUUACCAGUCCAGUAUAGAACUCAAUUUAAAAUCCUGGUCCUUACUUUUAGAGCCCUGCAUGGUCAAGUUCCUCCAUACAUCUCUGACUUGAUACAGCUUCACACUCCCACCCUGGAGUCUGAGGUCAU